CCUUUGCUUUGUUUUAUGGGGCAGAGCUCUUUUCCAGCAUGUGCCGGGGCAAUUUUGGAUCGUUGCUGGGUCUUGCAGCGCCAUCUGAGAGUGAUCGUCGAUCUCUUCACAUGCCCUGCACUAGUUAGUUGGAGCAGCGUUCUUUAUGCGCCACUUGGUUCUACAGCUCCAGUAGAUUAGUAGCCGUUUAAUCUUGGCGUGGAAUUUACAACGGUAUAACUGGGAUAGCAUCUCCGUAUCUAUAUACAGUAUGUAUUACAGACGCACUCGGCCGAAUGAGUGCGGUUUCCAAAACAAAGGAAAUUGUUCGUGUCAGCCUGUCGAGAGGUUACAAGAGCGUAUCAAAUUCGGGCCAAACCAUGUACUACUCCCUCCGUUCCCAAAUAUUUGUCUUUCUAGGUAUUUCAAAUGAACACAACAUACGGAUGCAUGUAGACAUAUUUUAGAGUGUAGAUUCACUCAUUUUGCUCCGUAUGUAGUCACUUAUUGAAAUCUGUAGAAAGAUAAAUAUUUAGGAAAGGAGGGAGUAGUAUAUUGGGACUGAGGGAG
rnacentral:lncRNA from 1 species